rnacentral:miRNA from 1 species
AAGAGAGGCAGUCACCCCCCUGAAAACAUAUUGAAAAUUUAUUCCAGGGGGGUGAAUGCCUCUCUU